UCCAUAUUAAAUCGCCAACACACGGUCUGGCAGUUUAGCACGAUCCACACUCGUCAAGGAGAAACUUUGUCUGCAGCCUCGUUAUCAAACGGCAUUGUCUGACCGGGCUCGAUCUCCAUCCCCCAACGGAGUUGGAACGAUGAUUUAUGGCGGGCGUUAAUAAUGAGAUCGAUACGGGGAAGAAGCUGCCGAUUGGAUUAUAACGUAUUUAACAAGUAAACGCUUAAGUGCCCAUCUCUUAGCCCCGCAUCUCCCCAUCCACCGCCGCCCGAAUUGCGUGACCAAUCAAUUCGCCGUUUCUUUGUUCGGCCGUGGGUCCAAUAUGUAUCCUUUUUAUCCUGAGCGCUCUCUCGUCCGCUCUCUUGUCAGCGUCAUCCAAGCAACUUCAUUUGGCUAAGUAAAUUUCCUGCUGUACAAUACAGGCCAGCAUGCUUGUCUUCGACACCGGAUAGUUCGUCAAUCUGGACCGGCUUUUGUCGGCUAUUCACAACUGGUUCAAUACGCGUGUGUAUAUGUGUGUUCUGCCUGGCGGCCCAUGUUGAUUCGGCUUGUGGCGAUGAUGGACGCCAGAAAAUCCACAAUAAUAUUUCACAAUUAUCCUAAAUGAAAAUGGAUCUCUUAGCGCUGGGAAUUACUAUGAUCAUUAGCUGUGAUGUCACCGCGAUAAGAGCGGCCGGUACCCCCCGUGUGCAGGUUUUGGCUAAUCAGCUGUCUUCAAUCUUCGAAGCCAAGACGUCAUACAGCGUCAUCCGUAAGCGGAUCAAAGAUGCCCGGCUGGAGUACACCGCUGAGCCGGCCCACUGUCAGGAAGUGAAGUCAACACUACACUCCACCCGCGUUCAGAUCGAAGCCCUAUUCAGGCAUCGCGUUAAGGCACUAAAGCGGAUCGUGGACGAGGCUGAACGGUUGUCAGCCGGUGCGCAGUUGAAGUUGCAGGACACCGAGUACUGCUACAGCGGAGUAUCCGUACCGUACAGUUGCAUGGAGAGUGAGUCCGUCCGACUGGAUACGGAUUAUGCCGAUUACAAUCGCGAGAUGUUGUUCCGGUACAAUGCGCUCUUCCGGCGUACGGUUUCGUUCGUGCAGUCCGGCGUGCAGAUUCCUGAUUAUGUGCCACAGAAAGGGAUUCGUCUUAAUCGACAUCUGGAUGUAACACAGCCUCUUGAUCGCAUUUUCCGGGAAAACCGCAAAGAAUCACCUGGCAUUUCGUGGCAGUAUUUGGGCACCGAGAGUGGAAUGUUCCGAAUUUUUCCGGCUUUUUCCUGGACAUCCGACGAGGAAGAUUACUCAGCCUGCAGUACAAAGCGCUUUGACGCACGUCAUCGACCCUGGUACGGCCGGGCGCUUCUUCCGCCGCAAGAUCUCCUCAUUCUGUUAGACGUUUCAGGCUCGGUGUAUGGCCAACCAUUGCGUCUGAUCAAGAGUUUGGCGCAAGCGUUAGUCGAUAGUCUGAAUGAUGAUGACUACGUCGGGAUUGUUGAGGUUGGCGACAAGAUUCAGUGGAGUGUCUCGCUUGUGAAAAAUCGUUUGCUGCUGCAGUUCAACCGCAAUGUGACCUUUAUUCCGUGCACCACCGGAUUCACACUGGCAACAAUGCCGGCCAAAUCUGCACUUAAAGAGGCAAUUAACAUGGUGACACACGGGAAAGUCGGGACCUACGAAGCGGCGUUGAAGUUUGCCUUUGAUGCCUUUGCCGAACACGACCGGUUCAUUAACAUCUCCCGAAGGCAAUUUGGACUGGAUGCGGCGAAGGACGCCCGGGUCAAGGUAAUUGUCAUGUUGUCGGAUGGAUCGACGGAGUUUCCUAAGGAGGUACUGGAUCAACGGGAUCCCAAUGCCACGGUCAGGAUCAUCAGCUUUCAAGUGGGUCUGGAUAUCAAUCCCAAGGGCGGUUUGAUGAAGAUGGCCUGCUCGCAUAACGGAUUGUUUCUUACCGUAUCACUCAAGGAAACCAUACCGCAGAAGAUUCUGCGCUCCAAAUAUCCGUUGUAUGCGGCUCUGAACUGGACUCGCUCGUAUCCGUAUUAUAUCAGCAAUGUUUAUGAAGAUUGCUUGGGUACAGGAGCCGUUGUUUCGCUGUUUAUGGCGGUUCACGACUACGAUACGAUUUCCAAAGAAAACUUCAUGGGGGUGGCCGGCGUGGACAUUCAGAUGGAAGAAAUUUCCGAGCUUCUUGCUAACAAAUCCAAAGUUUUAAGAACCAUCCUCAUUAACAAAUCAGGUUAUGUGCUUUACCAUUCGCAUUUGGAUCGGGUCAACCGUUCCAUGUGGAAUAAUUUCUCCGUUGUUGUGGAUUGGACCACACUGGAGCCUCGCUUGCCUGAACUAGAAAAGAUCAAGCGUCAGGUUUAUCGUUGGCAAUCCGGUCAUAUCCAUACGGUUUUCUGGGAACGCUCCAACGACCCACGACGGCUGCGUCCAGUACCGGUGACCUAUGUUUUUGAAUUAGUCGUCGAUGAUAAGCUGAUGCUGAUACACGUGCAUGCGAAGAAAUAUGGUCAGCCAUGCGCUACAAAACCAAUGGGACGUGCGGAAAAAUGCGAAACGUAUUGCGCCAAGUUGAAUGUCCUUAUUCAGAAAUCCGUUACUGAAUAUAAGCGUCCAUGGCUAGUCUGUUGUGGAACUGUUUACUGGCUGCAAAGAUUGCAUAAUUUUACUGUGGAAGAUGUACAUUACACUGCUCUUUAUCGGCCGGAUGAAAUCCAGUUUCAGCCAAUUCCGACCCAAAUGUACAACGAGAUUGUGGGAUACGAUAUGCUCAUGUACCGUUUGCUCCUUCAGCAUCCUUACCCCGCUGUGAUCGGCACAUUCACCGAUAAGGGUACCAUACUCUCCGCAAUGGAACUAGACCAUGAAAGACGCCCAACUCUGAUAAUGGAUGAUUCGGGCACAAUAUACGCUGACUACCGCAAUGGGUCUAACGCCACGGAAUCGUUCUCUCAUGUAUCCGAUUCACACGAUUACCUAUGGGAUCAUUUUGUGGAGAAGGGAGUUCUCGAAAGUGAAAUGUUUGCGGUUCCGGCUUUUAACUGUUCGAUUACUUCUGGAGUCAGCAGAUCAGUGCCUUUCUUAAACGUUCGCCUACAUUCCGAUGUGGUAUAUGUUUUCGAGUAUUUAAGGUUGUUUUGGACUAUUUUCGGUCAGUUCAGUGCCUUAAUUGGUUUAAUGAUCCUAUGGAUUCUUCCAAUGACAGUAUUCGCGUUAAAAGCCGACGAAUAUCGAAAGCUCACAAGUAACUUGUGCACCAAGAAGGAAAUGCUUUCGUACUGGAGGAAAGGGGCGGUUGCGUCAUACGGGAGCGUCAAAUGCAGCAGUUCAAUACGUGAAUUCGGGUUAAAUAAAAUCUCGGGAACCAAUUUGCUAAUGCUAACAGCUGCGCAAUACGACAACCCAGACGACAACUUCCGGAAAGAUCCAAUACGAAUUGCUACGACUGCCGACAAGUGCCCGAAUCAGGACAGUAUUAAACAUACAUGGAAACCGAUGGCUUCAGAAUAUUUUCCCCCGAGUGUGUUCGACUACAUGUCGACGGAAGAUUGUGCCUAUGCCAAGGAUAAUGGUUGCCACGACACCUGAAAGACACAUGAAAGCACUGAAGCGCCUUCUCCUCAUGAGCCUUUUCGAAAUCGGAUUUGGCAUCAUGUGUCUUAUGGGACUAUGCGUGUAUUUCUUCCUAGUACCUCCCUGGAAUCCCGAAGGCGAUGUUGGCCCCAAACCAAGCACCAUUCACCUUCCCGUUAUAAUUCUAUCAAUCGAAAGUGCUCUCCUAUUUGCGACAGCUGCUUAUGGACUGUACACCAGGCAUCGAGCCAACAACCAGACAGCAACUGUUGGAAUGUUCUUCGGCUUGCUCGGCCUUAAUCAUUUCUUGUGCUUGUUAUACAGUGCCGCACUGACAGCUUGUGUAGGAUAUUAUCUUGACCUCUGGAUCCUGACUUCCGAUGCAAUAAUGGGCGUGCUGUUAUUGGUCGCAGUGUCUAGCGUUGGAUCGAAAAUUGGAAUAACGCUGACGGCUGCUCUCCAGUGUCAGCUGUAUAUAAGUAUCCUUAAGGGAAA